rnacentral:lncRNA from 1 species
UCUAAGACUUAUUUUUCUAUGUGUAUGAGAAUUUUGAGAUCAAUCGAAUGAUGAAAAAGAGAGAUAUUGGCUCUAGGAGAUUGGCAUCAAGGUUGAAGAAGGAAGACGGCCAAUAUCAGAGUAUAUUUUUGAGGUUAUUGUCUAUUUGGUAAUUUUGAUCUUCUUCAAAUUUUUUGUGCUUGUUUUCAACUUAGUUUUUAAAAAGUGUGUAAAAUUUGAGUUAAGAUCAAUGUUUCAUUCAUUAGUUAUUGAAGUUUAAAUUUUUAUAGAAAUUACUAAGAUUUGGUUAGGAUUUGAUUUAGGGUUAAGGGUUAGGUUAUGAUUUGAUUUAGUAUUAGGGUUUGGUUAGGAUUUGGUUUAGGAUUUAGGAUUUGGUUUGAUUUAGGAUAUAGGAUUUGAUUUAGGGUUUUAUUAGGAUUUGGUUUAGGAUUUAGGAUUUUAUUAGGAUUUGUUUAGUAUUUAAGAUUUAGUUAAAUUUUGGCUUAAAGUUUGAAUGAAGUCCAAUAGGAUUUUAACUAGGAUUAAAUUAAGAUUGAAUUGAGAUCUAGUUGAGAUAUAUUUGUGAUCAUUCUAAUAUUUUUUUAAUAUUU